rnacentral:rRNA from 1 species
AUUGAACGCUGGCGGCAGGCCUAACACAUGCAAGUCGAGCGGAUGAAGGGAGCUUGCUCCUGGAUUCAGCGGCGGACGGGUGAGUAAUGCCUAGGAAUCUGCCUGGUAGUGGGGGAUAACGUCCGGAAACGGGCGCUAAUACCGCAUACGUCCUGAGGGAGAAAGUGGGGGAUCUUCGGACCUCACGCUAUCAGAUGAGCCUAGGUCGGAUUAGCUAGUUGGUGGGGUAAAGGCCUACCAAGGCGACGAUCCGUAACUGGUCUGAGAGGAUGAUCAGUCACACUGGAACUGAGACGCGGUCCAGACUCCUACGGGAGGCAGCAGUGGGGAAUAUUGGAAGAUGGGCGAAAGCCUGAUCCAGCCAUGCCGCGUGUGUGAAGAAGGUCUGCGGAUUGUAAAGCACUUUAAGUUGGGAGGAAGGGCAGUAAGUUAAUACCUGGCUGUUUUGACGUUACCAACAGAAUAAGCACCGGCUAACUUCGU